AUUGAACGCUGGCGGCAGGCUUAACACAUGCAAGUCGAGCGGGGUGAUGGUGCUUGCACUAUCACUUAGCGGCGGACGGGUGUGUAAUGCUUAGGAAUCUGCCUAUUAGUGGGGGACAACAUCUCGAAAGGGAUGCUAAUACCGCAUACGUCCUACGGGAGAAAGCAGGGGAUCACUUGCGACCUGGCGCUAAUAGAUGAGCCUAAGUCGGAUUAGCUAGUUGGUGGGGUAAAGGCCUACCAAGGCGACGAUCGGUAGCGGGUCUGAGAGGAUGAUCCGCCACACUGGGACUGAGACACGGCCCAGACUCCUACGGGAGGCAGCAGUGGGGAAUAUUGGACAAUGGGGGGAACCCUGAUCCAGCCAUGCCGCGUGUGUGAAGAAGGCCUUAUGGUUGUAAAGCACUUUAAGCGAGGAGGAGGCUCUUUUGGUUAAUACCCAAGAUGAGUGGACGUUACUCGCAGAAUAAGCACCGGCUAACUCUGUGCCAGCAGCCGCGGUAA
rnacentral:rRNA from 1 species